rnacentral:tRNA from 1 species
GCUCCCGUCGUCUAGCGGCCAGGACAUCCGGUUCUCAACCGGAAGAUCGCGAGUUCAAAUCUCGCCGGGAGCGCCA